UGCAAAAGUAAUUGUGGUUUUGUCAUUUAAAAGUAAUGGCAAAAACUGCAAUUACUU
ensembl:miRNA